rnacentral:rRNA from 1 species
GAACGCUGGCGGCGUGCCUAAUACAUGCAAGUCGAACGCUUCUUUCCUCCCGAGUGCUUGCACUCAAUUGGAAAGAGGAGUGGCGGACGGGUGAGUAACACGUGGGUAACCUACCCAUCAGAGGGGGAUAACACUUGGAAACAGGUGCUAAUACCGCAUAACAGUUUAUGCCGCAUGGCAUAAGAGUGAAAGGCGCUUUCGGGUGUCGCUGAUGGAUGGACCCGCGGUGCAUUAGCUAGUUGGUGAGGUAACGGCUCACCAAGGCCACGAUGCAUAGCCGACCUGAGAGGGUGAUCGGCCACACUGGGACUGAGACACGGCCCAGACUCCUACGGGAGGCAGCAGUAGGGAAUCUUCGGCAAUGGACGAAAGUCUGACCGAGCAACGCCGCGUGAGUGAAGAAGGUUUUCGGAUCGUAAAACUCUGUUGUUAGAGAAGAACAAGGACGUUAGUAACUGAACGUCCCCUGACGGUAUCUAACCAGAAAGCCACGGCUAACUACGUGCCAGCAGCCGCGGUAAUACGUAGGUGGCAAGCGUUGUCCGGAUUUAUUGGGCGUAAAGCGAGCGCAGGCGGUUUCUUAAGUCUGAUGUGAAAGCCCCCGGCUCAACCGGGGAGGGUCAUUGGAAACUGGGAGACUUGAGUGCAGAAGAGGAGAGUGGAAUUCCAUGUGUAGCGGUGAAAUGCGUAGAUAUAUGGAGGAACACCAGUGGCGAAGGCGGCUCUCUGGUCUGUAACUGACGCUGAGGCUCGAAAGCGUGGGGAGCAAACAGGAUUAGAUACCCUGGUAGUCCACGCCGUAAACGAUGAGUGCUAAGUGUUGGAGGGUUUCCGCCCUUCAGUGCUGCAGCAAACGCAUUAAGCACUCCGCCUGGGGAGUACGACCGCAAGGUUGAAACUCAAAGGAAUUGACGGGGGCCCGCACAA